ACCAAUACUAAUUGAUUUCAUUCUUUACCGUUAGACGUUUGAGACAAUUUCUAAGAUAAAUUAUGCAUUAUAGAUGUCUUUUUUUGAUGGUUAUAUUCAGUUGUACGACGUUUAGUCAUGGACGUAAUUCACCUGCCGUUGCAACUGGUUCAAGAAGAUCCGAAAAAUUUAAAAGUGUGAGCAAUAGUAUAUCACAACCGCGCAGCCAGGGAAGUGAUGACAAUGGCGACAAUGCACCAAUUAAAUUUGAUCCGCUUGACCAUGUAUAUUUCCAUAAAACAAUCACUAAGGUUGUAAAACCAGAGAAACAGAAACGUCCAAAUAAAAGUACCCAAAAAAAGCCAGCACUAUCUUCUAAUAACAAGGCACCAGCUUCUGGAAAACCAGACAGGGUUGUUAUUGAACACGUAAUUCCUAUUCAGAAAGUUUACAGUAAAGUGAUCGAAACAAUAUCCUCGAAAUAAAUACGCUGUUACAUAUUCUAGGCCAGCACAACUUUUUAUCCAAACGAAAAGGGAAAGAAGAAGCAUCACUUAUCAAUCAUGAUACAAGAAUAGCGCAACCAAGUCGACAGCGC